CUGAAUAACUUUGCUGAUCACACGGUCCUAGCACCGGUGACAUAUCUUUCAAGUGUCUGCCCUAUCAACUUUCGAUGGUAGUUUAUGUGCCUACCAUGGUGGUAACGGGUAACGGAGAAUAAGGGUUCGACUCCGGAGAGGGAGCCUGAGAAAUGGCUACCACAUCCAAGGAAGGCAGCAGGCGCGCAAAUUACCCACUCUCAGAACGAGGAGGUAGUGACGAAAAAUAACGAGACGGUUCUCUAAGAGGCCCGUCAUCGGAAUGGGUACAAUUUAAACCCUUUAACGAGGAUCUAUUGGAGGGCAAGUCUGGUGCCAGCAGCCGCGGUAAUUCCAGCUCCAAUAGCAUAUACCAAUACUGUUGCUGUUAAAAA
rnacentral:rRNA from 1 species